ACUGAGGAAUGAUGACAGUAAAAGGCCGAAUUGCAGUGCCAUCCCACAAGCAGUUUGCUCUCUAUAUGGAGCACAAUGACAAAGUUUCCAGAAGCGUACUAAACUAGUCUGACCUCAGU